rnacentral:misc_RNA from 1 species
GAUGAAGAACGUAGCGAAAUGCGAUAAGUAAUGUGAAUUGCAGAAUUCAGUGAAUCAUCGAAUCUUUGAACGCACAUUGCGCCCCCCGGCAUUCCGGGGGGCAUGCCUGUCCGAGCGUCAUUGCACCCCUCGAGCCCGCGCGGGUUUCGGUGUUGGGCCGCCGUCCCCCGGGGGGGGGGACGGGCCCGAAAGGCAGUGGCGGCCCCGGGGCGACCUCCCGCGCGAUCGCAGCACCUCGCGGCCGAAGCGUUCGCCCCGCGGGCCCGCCUGGACCACCAGUGUGACGUACCGGUUGACCUCGGAUCAGGCAGGGAUACCCGCUGAACUUAAGCAUAUCAAUAAGCGGAGGA